rnacentral:tRNA from 1 species
GCACCCUUGGCUCAACUGGAUAGAGUACCUGACUACGAAUCAGGCAGUUGCAGGUUCGAAUCCUGCAGGGUGCA